rnacentral:rRNA from 1 species
GACGAACGCUGGCGGCAUGCCUAAUACAUGCAAGUUGAACGAGGAUAUUCUCUGCUUGCAGAGACUUGAAGAGUAGCGAACGGGUGAGUAACACGUGGGGAACCUGCCCAUGAGAGGGGGAUAACAUUCGGAAACGGAUGCUAAUACCGCAUAAUGCUUUGCACAGCCUGGUCCAGGGACGAAAGACGCUUUUUGCUGUCACAAAGGGAUGGCCCCGCGCCGAAUUUGCUAGUUGGUGAGGGAAUGACCAGCCACAGCUGUGCUACGUAGCCGACCUGACAGGGUGAUCGGCCACACGGGGACUGAGAAACGGCACAGACUCUGACGGGAGGCAGCAGUAGGGAAUCUUCCACGAUGGGGGAAUGGCGGAUGGUGCAAAGCCGCGUGAAUGAAGAAGGUCUUCGGAUCGUAAAGUUCUGUAAUUAGAGAAGAAGAAAUCAAGGAGUAACUGUGUUGACUUUGACGGUACCUAACCAGAAAGACACGGCUAACUACGUG